rnacentral:rRNA from 1 species
AACGCGAAGAACCUUACCCGGACUUGACAUGGUGCUGCAAGCGCACGGAAACGUGUGACCUUCGAGGGUGCACCACAGAUGCUGCAUGGCUGUCGUCAGCUCGUGUCGUGAGAUGUUGGGUUAAGUCCCGCAACGAGCGCAACCCUUGUGUCCUGUUGCCACCGGGUCAUGCCAGACUGCCGGUGACAAACCGGAGGAAGGUGGGGAUGAGGUCAUGUCAUCAUGGCUCUUACGUCCAGGGCUAGAAACGUGCUACAAUGGCUGAUGCAAAGGGUUGCAAGACCGCAAGGUGGAGCGAAUCUCAUCAAAGUCAGUCUAAGUUCGGAUCGCAGUCUGCAACUCGACUGCGUGAAGUUGGAAUCGCUAGUAAUCGCGGAUCAGCACGCCGCGGUGAAUACGUUCCCGGGCCUUGUACACACCG